GUUCACAUAUGCAUAUUCUUGGUGAGAAAAAACAAUACAAAUUUUUUCUGGAGACACAAUCAAAAUGUUCAAUAUUUUCUUUCUCUGGUUAUCCAUGCGAUGCGCCACUUGGAUGCUGAUGUUGAGUAUUGAGCUCAGGAAACUACGUGCGAUGUUAUAUUCAUUUUCCAUCAACAUAUCUAGGCUUUGUGAUUUGAUAGAUUCUUUUCAUUUUUCUGUACCUAUCUCCCUACCUAUCUAUA